UCGUGUCUGACUCUUUGUGACCCCAUGGUCGCACACCAGGCUUUUCUGUCCAUCACCAGCUCCCGGAGCCUGCUCAAACUCAUGUCCAUCGUGUCGGUGAUGCCAUCCAACCAUCUCAACCAAGGCCUGACCCUUGGGUCAGUCUAAAUCAAUUAUUCAUAUUACCUCAUAAUUCACUUCCUUGUACUUAUCACAAUUUUAAUUUAUAUAUCCACUUUUUUUCCUUUAGGGUCCUCUCCUCCAUUAGAUUAAAUAUUCUCAAAAAGGGAAGGAAUCUUAUCUGCAUUAUUAGUUCCAUCCUCAACACCUAGCCCACAGUAGGUGUUUGAUAAAUAUUUGUUGGAGAAAUCAAGGAACGUGGUAGACAGCCUAAUAUAACCCUCAGAGAUGCCUGUGCCUCUUGGAAUUCAUGGUCUUGUGUAAUCCCCUCACUGUGCUCAUGGGCUGACCUAGAGACUCACUUCAAAUGAUGGGCUGUCAUGUCUGAGAUUAGAUUACAAAAAGGCUGUGGCUUCCCUCCUGGGUACCCUUCUCUUGCUUUCCCAUUCUCUUGCCCAUUUGCUCUGAGGAAAGCCAGCUCAAAUGUGAGCAACUUUAUUAGUUUCCUGAGGCUGCCAUAGCAAAUUACCAUAAACUAGGUGACUUAAAACAAUGGAAAUUUAUCCUCUACAGUCCUGCAGGCCCAAAGUCUGAAAUCCAGGUGUCAGAAGGGCCCUGCUCCCUCUGAAGCCUCUAGGAAGGGUCCUUUCUAUCUCUGCCAGCUGCUGGUGGCUCCCAGCAGUCCUUUGGCCUUCCUUGGCCUACAGGUGUAUCCCUCUAAUCUCUGCCUUGAUCUUCACAUGACUUUCUCCGUGUGCGUCUGUGUUCUUUCCUCUUCCGAAGACACCCAUCAUUGGAUUUAGGGGUCACCCUAACCUAGUAUGACCUCAUCUUAUCCUAACUAAUUGCAUCUGCAGAGACCUUUCUACAUUCUGAGGUUCCAUGUGACCAGGAAUAGGGGAGAGGAUGCUAGUCAGCCCACUAUUGUUGCCCCUGGGGGGGCCCACAUGUCAAGGAACUCAUGUCUCACCAGCUGUCAGUGAGAACUGGAGGCCUGGCAGGUGGUCACGUAAGUGAGCUUAGCAUGGAUCUUCACAUAGUUGAACCCUGAGAUGAUUGCAUCCUUGGCCAACAACUUGAUUGCAGCCCUCUGUACCAGGGGCACCCAGUUAAGCUAUGUCCAAAAUCCUGACCCACAGAAACUGUGAGAUGAUAAAUGUUUUUAAAGUGCUAAAGUUAGGGGCAGUUUGUCAUGCAGCAUAGAUAACUAACACAGAUGUUGGUGCCUGAAAGACGGGUGCUAUCAUAACAGCUCCCUAAAAUGUGGGAGUGGUUGGGAACCAGGCAGUGGGCAGAGGUUCUAACGAGUUGGACAAGUGUGUUAUAGAAAGCCUAAAUUAUCUUGAACAAACGUAGCAGAGAGAGAUCUGGGCUUUGGUUCUCAAAGUGUGGCUGCCAGACCAGUAGUAUGGGGCACUUAGUAGAUGUACAGUAAAUAUUUCUUCUUGGGGCCAUAAGAUUGGAAACCAGGAGUGUAUAUCACUGAAAAAAAAAAAAUCCUUUUACCAUGUUCAUUUCAUUUUCAGAAAAAUUUUAAUAAAAACAAUGACUAUCAGUUACUUUUUAUUCUUCAUGAAGUAGCUGAAUGAGAGUGGGACAUGACUGGAGGGACUGUGAGGAAAUGGAGGCCCAGAGCUCAGAAGAGUAUAAAGUGAAAUGAAGUCCCUCUGCUACCCAUACAUGGCCUUCUGCUCGCCUCCCAGAAGCAGCCGCAACGAACAGCGGCUCCGGACACUUGAGACCUGAGUGCCACCACCGAGCUUACCUGCGGCCCCUGCUCAGUCCGACUGUCAAAGGGGUUCCCAACCACACGAGACUUGGCCCGGGCAACACUCCGUUCCACAAACUCGGCGUAAAUGUCCUCCUGCACAAAGGUCCGCGAGCCUGCACAGCAGCACUGGCCCUGAUUGAAGAACAGGGCGAAGUGGGCCUGCUCCACGGCCCAGUCCACUGGGGAGGCAGAAGGCAACCACGAUCAGGGAAGGAAAGGCUUGGCCCCUGUGGCGGCUGCUGCCUAUUAACACUGCCAACAGCACUCACGCCCGCUGGGUGCCAGACCCUGUGUGGGAACAAGACAGGCCUGACCUCUCCCUUCUCCAAGCACGGAGACCAAGUGGCUGGCAGACACGAAGAGCAGCGGUCCUAACCCGCUACGGUCCUGAAGCCAAGGGCGGCUGGAGGACAAGCCAGCUGGCCUGCGACCAUUGGGGAAGACUCCCUCAAAGCAGACACAUCUAGGAGCAUCUCAACAGGACCGGGAGAGAGGACAUGAUGGAGGGAAAGCAGCCUGAUCUGACAGCAGGCUGCACAGCUGGGCAAGUCAGUAGCUCAGCCCGGCUGGAUUACAGACAGCAGAGAGGAGAAAGGCGGGGGACAGGCCACGGCCACACAGGCCAGAGGGCCACGCUGAGGAGUCUUUCAUCCUGAGGCCCUGGGGGCAGAAACCAAUCCAAUGGAUGAUAAGGAUUACAGAGCCGAGUGGGACCACAGGAGACACAGCUAGUGGCGAGUUGAUAUCAGACCUCUGCCUCCCACCAACCAAAAGAAAACCUUACUAUCAGCAUCUGACAUGAUGAUAUUGGGACUCUUUCCUCCUAGCUCCAGGGUCACUCUCUUGAGGUUACUCUUCCCCGCAGCAACCUGGAUUAGGUGGCCAACCUACAGGGAGGCAUAAACAGGGACAAACUCUUAGUGGAGAAGAAAAGAGCCAAACGUUCUCACGGGCACAGAACAGAAGUCCCCACAGCUUGAGGGAGCACCUGGAUUAGAGGAGACCUGGAGAAUUUCACCACAUCUGGCCACUCACUCACAUAGCAGCCCCACCCUCUGAGCUCCUAGGAUGACGGCGAUGUAACGACAAGUCAGAGUCACUGCCGUGUGGCUUCUACUUCCUGAGCACCAUCUACAUACCAGACACUGUGCUAAGUGCUUUGUGAGCAUUGAGGUCAACCCUCUAAACAACCUCAGAGGGAGGGCCGACUCUCCUCCUUUAUUCAGAAGUGUGGGAGUGGCAGCUCAGAGUGGUCAAGUCACUUGCCCACAGUAAACCUGGAAUCAGAAUUCACACUGGGCAGACUGCGUCCAGCACCAGUUCAGACUUGCCAUCCCUCCUCCUCAGUGUUCUAAAUGGUAUCCCCCGCACACAGCAAGGAUGGGGUGCUUUUCACCUCCAUAUUCCAAAAGCCUGGCACAAAGACACCCCUGUGCUUACAUGUUGGGUGAAUACACAUUAUCUCGGUCGGGAAACCAUCCUCUCUGCCAGAUUCCCAAUAUCCCCUUGAGGCAUUGAUUUAGGUGGUGACUAACCCCAGAAAGAGUGGACCGUGUCACCUCGGCCACCAUUCUGCCCUCCCGCAACUGCCAUCUCUACGUACAGGCUGAACGUUUGACGGCAUCUUCGUCUCAGGGGAAUCAUUUUGAAGAUCCCCUUUAUUAUGCUAUUCAGUGUGCCUUCUCUAAAGUCAUGGGAUAAAGCCUCCCAAAAAUUCAAGUUAGCUCUUUAGAAUGAAUUUUGCCCCUGCUUCCAAGGUAAUUAUGUUUAAGGAAUCCCCAGACAUCUUAUACUUCUUUGUCUCUCCAGGACCUGGCCCAGAGCAGCACUCACUCAUUCAUUCACUCACCGAGUACUUACUCUGGGCUAGACCUUUGUUGAAUAAGCUUUAUCUCACUCACGCCAACCCUGGGAAGUGGGCAGAGUUAUUAUCCCCAUUUUACAGAUGGGGAAAUGGAGGCUUCAGGAGGCUGACUUGCCUAAGGUCACAUAGCUAAGUAAGUGCUGCUGAAACACUUAGUUUGACUCCAGUCAUCUCCACCACUACACCAUACCUACAUCUCUACUGCAUAGAUACUACCAUCCUCAGUCUAAACACAAAUGAUUGGAGCCCCCAAAGACAUGCAGUGAAUCACCCCAGGUCAUAAUGACAAGGCUGGGAUUUGAACUGAUGUCUCCCGGAAGCCCACUCUCUUUAAUCACCAGGACAGCACCAAAGAGUCUGACACAGCCCAGGUGCUUUGACCUUGGGCAGGCCGGCACCUCUGGGCUUUAGGAGUCUAGACAGGCUUGGCUUCUUUAUCCCACAUGGGAUGUCACCCCACCCCCUGGCCCCACAGCAGCUGGAGUGUCAACCAGUCUACAGAGGGCUCCACCCUGAUGGACUCCAAUGGCACACCUGGGCCCCUCGCACAAGCUACUCCAAGACAGUCCUGGGGCAGACCCCCAUGCAGUGCCCAGAGGCUAAUCUUAUUAUUAUUUUUUGUUUUGAUCGCACCACUUUCCGGAUCUUAGUUCCCCAACCAGGAACUGAACCCUGGGCCACAGCCGUGAAAGUGACAGGUCCUAACCAAUGGCCCACCAGGAAAUUCCCCCAGAGGCUGAUCUUGAACUCACUGUCCUCUGAGGACAAGGGCGCUUGAGCCAAAUGCACCGCAAGCCUGAGGUGCUGGGAUGCCUUACCUCAGUGGAGCCAGUGAAAGCCACUUUGUCCACGUCCUCAUGGGAGGCGAUGGCAGCUCCGGCCGUGGGGCCAAAUCCAGGAAUAAUAUUGACCACACCCGGAGGAAAGCCAGCCUGUGAAAAAAACACCAGGGACACUGGAGUCAUUCUCCUGCUCCACAGAGUCCAGACAGAGGAAUACGCAUCCCUUCCCAGAGAGGCUGAGGGAGUCGGCCCAGCACCCAGGUAAGCAGUCUUACUGGGUGCUGCUCAGGAGCUCUAGAUGGUACAGUGAGGAACCUGUUUUGUGGGAUUCCCUGUGGCUGUUGCCCCUACCCCUGUGGCACUCAGAAUGAUAAUCUUCAUAGGGGUUGUUGUUCAGUCACUCAGUCAUAUCCGACUCUGCGAGCCCAUGGAUUCCCUGUCCUUCACCAUCUCCUAGAGGUUGCUCAAAUUCAUGUCCAUUGAGUCGGUGAUGCUAUGGAAUCAUUUCAUCCUCUGCUGCCCUCUUCUCCUUUUUGCCUUCAAUCCUUCCCAGCACUGGAAUCUUUUCCAAUGAAAAGGGGUCUGGCAAUGAAACCCAACAUAGAAAAGAGGGGAUGGAGGGUCACCUAGGCUGAAGUGUGAUGAGCAGAGGUGAAGGGGGUCAGGCCCUGGCCCCACCGGGGGGCCCCCUCAUCAGAACUCCUAUAGGACAAGCCUUUAAAAAGGCAUUUAGAGGUCAAGACAGACACAGCCACGCACCUCCUUAAUCAGGUUGGCCACAUAGAGGGCAGUGAGUGGAGUCUGCUCAGCCACCUUCAUCACAACCACGUUUCCCGUCGCCAAGGCUGGGCCCAGUUUCCAGGCUUGCAUCAGGAGUGGGAAGUUCCACUGCAAUCAACAACAGCCACUGCCAAAACCUCAGCCAAGAGCUACAGCAGCCGCAGAAAGCGGCAGCCAGAGAGCAGAGGUUCUCUGAACCUCUCCUGUUUCCCUCACAACUCCAUUAUUGAUGAAGACAGAGAAGCGGGCAGGUGGCGGGGACAGUAUCAGUGACUCAUGCUCACUGAUGCUUUUACCAAUGUGGCGGCACCACGCUGCUUCACACCUCCCUCCCACCCACAGACAGCUACUCUCACUUCCACUUUUCAGAUAAGGAAACCAGUUCCUAGGGGUAUCAGUGACUUGCCCAAGGUCACAGAGUUCACACACGGCAGGGCUGGUUGGUUUUGUUAAAACCCAUGUUCUCAACCACUGCCCAGGCCACCAUCCAACAUCACCCCACAGACCUUCCCACCUUGGCAAUGAACCUGCCCGAGACUGCUGCCUCCCAGAGCACUCCUGAUAAACCUUCACGUGUUUGUUUUGAGUCUGACUCACUGGGAUGAUCUGCCCACACACUCCCACAGGUUCAUGGCGGGUGUAGCUGAAGUAGUCCCCGUCAAUGGGAAUGGUUUUCCCGUGGUACUUGUCAGCCCAGCCGGCAUAGUAACUUACAAAAAAAAGAAAAAUAACAACUUAAUCAGUGACUGUCGGGGACCCUGUAAACCCUGGCAGAAAGCAAAGACUCAGACUGGUCCAGCUGGGUCUUUCUGAUAACUGCCCUUGCUCUUGGCUUUAUUUCCAAAGAGUUAGCUAACCACUAGGGUCUCAGUAAUUCAUUUUAGAUAACUAACCUCGAAGCCUCAGACUCACCUGGGGUGCUUGUAAAAAAGCACCAAAUUCUAGGUACCCUCUUCGGACUUAUUCAGCUGACUCUCUGGGGCCGAUGCCCAGGAGUCAGUAUUUUUAAUAAGCAGAUAUAUUAAACUGUGACUGUCUUACCAGUGCAGCACCGUAGGUUACUAUCUGAGAACCAUGGCUCCACUCUAGUGGGAAAGUGCAAACCCAUCUAACAGCUGGCACUUGUGUGCACAACACCGUACUACCACUGAGGGAGCAGUGACCAGAGACAGAUCAAGGACUGAGUUACCAUCCAGACACACAGGGACACCAAUGGUGAAAAAGCACUGCAGGCUAGUCGAGGGCAAGAAGAGCCAUGAGUGUACAGUAUGUAAUGAUUUUCAGGGAAGCAGGAAAAUGAAAGAUGGGGAGAGAUGCAGCACGUGGUAUGAGAGAGCUUUCAGAAAUGAACGUGUCUGCUGAAGUUGGCCCAAGACCAGAGUUGACCUGGGUGUGAACAUGGGUGGGUGACCCUGGGGAAAAAAAAGCCAGGGAGUUAUUUUGCCAGGCUGUACAAAUUAAGGCACUGCUGCUCCCUUCCUCUUAGGCCUAUAUGGUGUGUGUCUGCAUGCCUCAGGACAGAUGUUGAAUCAGCAAAGAAGUAUACUGCUCAGACUCAGGAGGGCCUGGCGCUCUGCCUGGGGUUCACCCAGCCACUCCCUCUUGGCUAUUCUUGCAGAGCACUCUCGAUCUUGGCACGCCUGUCAUUUGGAGCUGGAAAAUUCUUCACUGUGGGAGCUGUCCUGUACCCGCUAGGAUUUUUAAAGCAUCCCUGGCCUCUGUGCACGAGAUGCCAAGUAGCAGCCCUCCCUCCCAAUUGUGACAACCAAAAAUGCCUCCAGACAUUACCCACUGUCCCCUGGGAGACACAGCGGCCCUGGCUGAGAAGCCCUGUCACGAGAAAGAAGCACUAUUUUGUUCUCCAGCCAGUAUGUCUUCGACACUGCUUCUUCCCCUCCACCCCAUCCACGUGGGCACGGGGCAGCAGCCAUUAUUUGUAUAUAAUGACCUGUCCACCCGAACCACAGCUGGUCAGACUCAAUCAGGGCCACUCCUCCAGGAAUCUGGCAUGAGGACUAAGGGGCUGAGGUCAGUCUGGCUGGAAUCAAGCACAGAGAAGAAAGCCCAGGUGUGGGCAGCCAGGUUCCAGCAUGCAGACAGGCCCAGGCCCUAAAGAGGGUGGGGUAGUCGAUCAAGAGAAGCACGCAGCAAGGAGGCAGCAGUGACAGUCAGUGGCCUUGCUGGUUUAGACCCCUCACUCUCUAGCUGCCCAAGUUAGCCCGAAACCUCUUAUUCCUCAUCUUGUAUUUCUCGGUUAUUAAAAUGUUUAUGGUUAAACCCAAAGCUAGCAAGAGGAAGCAAAUAAUGGAGAACAGAGACAGAUGAAAUGAAAAACAGAAGAACAA